rnacentral:rRNA from 1 species
AUUGAACGCUGGCGGCAUGCUUUACACAUGCAAGUCGAACGGCAGCGCGGGCUUCGGCCUGGCGGCGAGUGGCGAACGGGUGAGUAAUACAUCGGAACGUGCCCAGUAGUGGGGGAUAGCUCGGCGAAAGCCGGAUUAAUACCGCAUACGACCUGAGGGUGAAAGCGGGGGAUCUUCGGACCUCGCGCUAUUGGAGCGGCCGAUGGCAGAUUAGCUAGUUGGUGGGGUAAAGGCCUACCAAGGCGACGAUCUGUAGCUGGUCUGAGAGGACGACCAGCCACACUGGACCUGAGACCCGGCCCAGACUCCUACGGGAGGCAGCAGUGGGAAAUUUUGGACAAUGGGCGAAAGCCUGAUCCAGCAAUGCCGCGUGUGUGAUGAAGGCCUUCGGGUUGUAAAGCACUUUUGGCGGGAACGAAAAGGACUGUGCCAAUACCACGGUUCGAUGACGGUACCCGCAGAAUAAGCACCGGCUAACUACGU